ensembl:lncRNA
CAGGAUGCGUCUCCAGCUGUUUCUUUGGGUUCGCCAUGCUGGUUUUUGCCAUUUACACACACAGUCACGCUCAGCCAUGACAUCAACAACGGUGGUCUUGCUUCCUGUCCGUCCCCGAGGCAUGGCACAGUGCGGCCAGCCUCCGAGAUGGCUCCCCAGAGAUCCUGGCGUCCACACCUUUGUGUCAUCCCCUCCCACAGCCAGCAGCUCGGACCUGUGUCACCAACAGGAUACUGCGUAGGUGACAGAGUGUGACUUCCGAGCUUAGGUCAUAGGAGACAUCGCAGCUGCCGCCUUGUUCUCGCGGGUCGCUCAGUCUGGGGAAGCCAGCCGCCGUGUGGUGAGGACAUCCAAGCGGCCCUGUGGAGAGGCCCAUGUGGCCAGGAAGUGAGGCCUCUGCCAACAGCCAGUGCGAGCCUGCCACCAGGGGAGGAAGCCACCUUGGAAGAGGGUCCUCCAGCCCGAGUCCAGCCUUUGGAUGCCUGUGGCCCGGUCGACAGCCUGACACAGCCUCACGGGAAACCUGAGCUGGAACCACACAGCCCCCAAGUUCCUGACCCACAGAAACAAUGUGAGAUAACAAAUUUUCACUAUUUUAAGCCACUAAGUUUUGAAGUACUUUGUUAUGAAGCAAAAGAUAAGGAAUUCAACCCGCAGUAAGUAUUCAUAUAAAUAAGUGUAUGGAUGGCCGGCAAAUGAUGACACCACCUCCCACUCGCGGGGCCCUUCCUCUGUCUGGGGCACUGAAUUAAGUGGCUCACCUGUCUUGGUUCAUAGUCAAUCGUCACAGCAACCUAUGAGCCAGCCAUCACCCCACGCCCAUUUUAUGGAUGAAGAACCAGGUACAGCGAGGUUGAAUAACUCACCCAGCAUCACACCGGCAGAGCCCAGACUCGCUCCCAGACAGGUGGGGGCCACAGGAUUCACUUCUGUACCACACGGUGGCUGCUGUCCCAUCCCAGUCCUCCUUGCCAGCCCCCUGGGGCCUGGAGGGGUCCCUCCCGCGGGUUGUGUGGCUCUGCAGAGGCUGACCUUGGAGGUGAGUGGACACGGAGGCGGAGCUGGGAAAUGCCAAGCUCGUGACCCGGAGCGACUCCUUUCAUCCGGCUUCUGGGAGCGCUGUUCUCUCCCCACCUGUGGACGCCAGUUGGACGGGAUGGGGGCAGGGCCGCUUCUGUUGAGUCACUCGCAGUGGAUCCGAGUCUCCGUGGGGGUGGGGUGGGGGUCGGGGAGCUCAGGUUCCGGUAGCCUUGUCAUCACUGCUCCUAUGCAAGCCCGCUAAGGUUAUACCCCCCGGACACUGGCUGGACACUCGCAGGACCUCGGAGGCUCCGUUCUCUGGAUCCGAAACAAUACAGUGGGGGCAGAGCUAAAAAUAACAGUGGAAAACCACCGGCCCCACUUGCCCUCUAAGAAAAGGAGGCUGAAUGGGUCUGAGGCUUCUGGGGAGCACGGAGCGCUCAUGCCCCUGCAUCGUGUGAAGGGAACUGGGCUACGCUGAGCAGGCCCCUUGUGAGAGGUGUGAGGUACAAGGGACCCGGGCAUAGGCAGCCGGGGCCCAGCUUGGGCUCCACCUGUCACACUCACUGUGUGACCUCAGGGUAGUUGCUUAACAUCUCUGUGCCUCUGAAAAAUUCAUUUGAAAAAUUGAGACAACGAUGGCACCUGCUCCCCAAGAGUGACUGAGCUCGUGCCCCAGGGUCUCCAGCUCACCUGGGGGAGGUCUUUCCAGUGACCUCACAGGCGGGGAGCUGUGACUGCCAUUUACAGAUGAGGAAAUGCGGUUAAGACUCUCAGGGGCCACACAGAGCUAAGAAGAGGCAGAAACAGUCAGGGUUCAAGCCUGAACAAUGUCAUUGCCUCUAUGUCACCUGGCCCCUAUUCACUUUUGAGCCAUCAGAACCUGCCACUGUGUGUGGCACCUGUUAGAUGCGGUCACUGUUGUCAAGCAAAUGGAUAGAAUGGAUUGGGUGGGCAGAAAGUGAACUCCCCGUCACUCCAGAGGUAUGCAAGCACAGCCUGGGGCCUGGUAGGGGUCCUCAAGCAUUGGAUUUGGGGUUGAACUCAAUAUCAUUUAAGGUCCUUCCUGCCCCUGGAUGCCAGGGCUCAUCACCGUCCUCCCCAGGAAGACAAAGAAGACACAGAGAUUAUUAGGUCUGUUUUAUAGUGGGCGAAACUGAGGCCCAGAGCCAGGUUUUGCCCAAGGUCACUCCCUCAGGCCCAGGUGAAGCUGGCUGGGGCCUCAGUCAAGGUGGAUGCUCACUCAUUCAGCCCCAGCAGGAAGGUGGGCUCCUGCCUCUGAGCGACUAGAGAGGCAGGCGGGUGACAUGAGGACACAGGACAUGGGGAAGCCGAGGGCAAGCCCUAGAGGCGUGCUGGGCCAGGGAGCGGGCAAGGCCGGCAGCAAGGGGGCCCUGGGGCUUCUUCGGUCUCCCUCCCUCAUCCGACAGGUGAACAGACGAAGACCCCGAGAGGCGAUUCCUUGCUCCAGGUCCGUCUGUUACACGGGGACAGGCUGGGGACAGGCCUGCUGAGAAGGAGCGGGAGGCACAGGCCUGGACGUGGCAGGGCCUGAGGCUCCAGCAAGGGUGGGGGUCACUAGGUGGGCAGGAGCCAGACUGGACUCGGGGUCUUCUGACCUCGCUCAGCCCCUCCCUCUGGAGACCCUUUUCCAAGCACUCAGGAUGGGCAAAGCCCUUUUCCAGAUGUGCUGCGCAGAUGCCCUCCUUUCUCCUAUGGUCAGGACUGAGAAUUCCAUCACCUCCAUUUCUUCAGAAGAGGAAACGACGGCCAGAGAGGUUAAGCAAUUUGCCUGAGGCCACAGAGCCAGCAAGGGGGCUGGGGGUGAAACUCUGGCAGUGGCUGCUAAGUCCCAGGUCUUGCCCCCCAUCACCCUGGCUCUGGCGGCCUCCCCCUGAGGGUGGAGGAUGGACCACCUCCUUUCCCUCCAAGGUCAUCUCAGCGACCUUCAGGGGCCUCUCUCAAGCUCAGCAUCCACCCCUCGGGCCCCGGCCAAGACGUGGCAGCCCGUGCCCAGGACGGGGGCAGGUGGCGAGCAGCCAACAGGGGUGUGCUGUGAGCCUGGAGCACCCACGCGUGCCAUCCACCCCACGGGCACCUCCUUCAUCACCAGCGCUUUGGGGCUAUAACUCACGUUCUGCACACUUACCCAUCUAAAGCGCACGGCUCAGUGGCUUCAGUCACUUCCCAGAGUAUCCACAUUUUCAUCACCCGGAAAGAAACCCUCACCUCUUAGCGGUCGCUCCCUUCCCCCUCCCCUGCCCCAGGCCCCCACGCGUCUCCUUCCUGUCUCUGUAGAUUUGCCUAUUGUGGCGGGUUCCAUAAUGGAAGGGCAAGACCCGGGAUACCUCCUUUUGAAGCCUUGGGCAGUAAGACGGUGUUCUCCCCAUUUCACAGUAAGGGAACUGCAGCUCAGAGUGGUCAAGUAACUUGCCCAAGGUCACCCAGCUCAGAAAUGGUGGGAGGAUUUGGACUAUGUCUCUCUGGCUCCAGAGACCCCAGGCCACCCUCUGUGGCCUGGAGCCCAGAGUUGCCUGACAGCUUCAAGGGCCUGGGGGCCAGGGAGUGGGAGGGAGGCUGAGAGCAUGGGGGAGUUUGAGGGUGUGGAGGGCCCAGAGGAGGCACCGGGUCUGGUCACCAGGUACCAGGAUCACAGGGAAGAAAAGAAAUGGGCCCGGCAGGUGGGGGGCGGGGGCCGGCAGACUGGAGAAGGGGGCUACCCUCCCCUAGGUGGCAGUCUGGCCCUGGCUGUCUGUCCUUUCCUGCUGAUCGGUCCAGGCACAGCCCCAGGAUGCCUUCCCCGCUGCUGCCUCCUCUCCCUCUGGAAACAGCCCUCUCCCCUGACUCGUGUAGACCCCGGCCCCGGAGGAUGACUCAGCCUGAGCCCUGGAGCCAGCUGUCCCUCUGCCUCCUCCUCCUCCCCAGCUGUCCCCCUCUGGCAGAAGUUCCCGGGACGUGAUUGUCACCAACCCCAGGCUGGCUGUGCCAGGAUGGCUGCGGCCAGCACCCGAGGGCGGGGUGGCUCUGCCUGCAUGUCCUCCGGGCCGGCCUCUGGCCAGGGCACUCAUGCCCUUUGAGUCAGGGGGCCCUGCUCACCCCUUACUGGUGAGCCCCCUUCAGAUAAACAUGAGAACCUCAGGUCCUCUUGUACUUUUAAAGUCAUUUCCAUAUUUUGACCAAAGGAAACCGAAUUUUAGAAUUUGCUCUUUCAGGCUACUCUCAGCUUGGGACCCCAGUCUGGUCCAUCCCACCAGCCCCCUUGGGAAUCUCAAUUUACUGAACCCCUGACACAUAGAUCAAGUUUCCUCUUGGGUGGAUGGGGAAACUGAGGCUCAGAGGAGAAAAGGGACUUGCCCAAGGUCAGCCGCUGGAAGGGACAGGCUUGGGAGGUGGGGCUCCCAGCACCAGGGUCCCCAGGAAAUGGAAUUCUGAGAGGACAGCUGUGGGCCUAGCCUGCCAGGGCCAGGAGGGGGGCCACUGUGACCCUUAGUGGCCCAACAGUCAAAUGAUAGCAGCAGCUGCUUAGUAAGCUCGAGUCUCAAACCUUUAUUCCCUUUUUCAUCCACGAAUUCAUUUAGGGCCUGGAUUGGAAGACCAGCUCCAGUAAACUUAGUGCUCUGUGACUUUGGGCAAGUCAGUUAACCUCUCUAGGACUCAGUCUCCUCAUGGAUAAGAGGGGUGUGAUGAUAACAGCGCCUGCCUCCCAGGGCUGGAGUGAAGAGAGAAUGAGUCACUGUGCGGACAGUGCGUAGAAAGCGCCCAGCACUGUCAGGGGCCUGAGGAACGUGAGCUGACGUUGUUACUAGGAUUCCUGGUGACUGCAUGUGUGGCAGAGCCACUUCCACUCCCCUGGCGAGAAACUGCAGCCUGGGACCCUUCACCAGGGAGAGAAAGAAACUCAGGGAGCAGGCCCGCUUCCUGCUGCCACCCCCCGUGGGGCUGCUGCCCGAGCGCACGGGCGUGACCAAUGGUGAAGGGCGAGCGGGAACCCCGGGUGCUCUUCCAGGGGAUUGGUGGACGUGAAUUCAUUCGACCUCAUGAAGGCCUUGGGGUUCACCCUGUGGUGCUCAUGCCCAACCAUUUGGUGUUCCUGGAAUAUCCUGGGCUCUCCCACGUCCCCGUCACUUUUGUGCUCUGGUCCGUCUUCCCUCCCAAAAGAGAGACUUUCUGGUCAGCUCGGACUCUCUCCUGGAGUCCCACUUUGGGGAGCAUGUCCUCUCCCCCUGCCGGCCCAGCCUGGAACAGGCCCUGCGCUUUCUGGCAUGGCCUCCCUCAGGGCACUGACCACAUGGUGCUCUAUCCUCGAUGCUGUGUCUGCAGGGACCCCAGCAACAAGGACUGUUGGCAAGCUGUGGGCCAAUGGGUGGAAUCCAGGGCUGGUCACGGAGAGCAGCUGAUUCCGCUACUCAUGCAAAGGGAGGGGCCAGCUGCGGGAACCGGGAAAGGGAAACCCCCUGGAGAGGCCCCUGCAGGAGAUGUGGGUUCUCCUGGAGGGAUGGAGCCAGCCUGCGGCUACCCAGCAGGGCAGGGUCAGGGGAGUAGACGGUCCAGCUUCACUCUCCCCAAACUCCAACCUCCAGCACUUCCCCACUGCAAGCCGAGGGCGGGGAGCCCGGGAUGCUGUCCGUUGGGUUGGCCUUCAGGCAGAGAGCAGGGGGCUGGGAGGAGAGUGGGUCUGGAGAGGCAGAGAGAGACCCUGAGCUCUCGUGUCUGUCUCCCUGCCAUGCCGUGAGGCCCAGCGCCGAUGGAGAGCAAGCGUAGAGGCUUCACAGUGUGUCUGCACGUCCUCGGGCUGUCCCCCCGUCAAGAGAUGGAAGCCAGGUCCCCUCGCUGGAACACGGCUGGCUCGGUGACGGGCUCCUCAAGAGCAGAAUGUGGGGGGGGUCACUGUGUGAUCCCCAGGGCGAGGUCACGAAAGCGAGGCAGCGUCCGCCCGGCCGUGUCUCUUGGGUCCCUUGCGCUUGCAACCAAGUGUCCACAUCAGGAGGAAGCCGAGUGACCACGUGGCUGUAUCCAGCAGACAGCCGGCCGCGGUGUGGGCGAGCCUGGAGACGAGGACGGCAGCCCAGACCCCGAGCGACCUGAGCCUGCGCCCCCUCACUGCGCUGGUUGACCCCGAGAACCGGGAGAGGCCAUAAUAAAAUAUUGAACUGUUGUGUUUGAAACGAUUACAUUCUGGAGUGAUUUCUUAUGCAGCAGUGAAAAUCCGAACAGCACGUGUGUCACAGAUGUUUGGUGAAGGAACUCUCUUGGGUACCUGAUUAGGUGGAAUUUCUUUUUAAGAGAAGCUGCCAUGUAAAGCAUCCCAGAGUUUCCAUCGAGUGGCAGCGACCUCAGGUCCCCUGGAGCGGUUCCCUCUGCUCUGGAGAGGCCCUCAGUGACCCCUUGGAGACACUCUCACACAAGGUGAGAGGUGAGAUACGAGUGACCCCGAUCUGGCCAACCCAGCAGCCUCUGGACCGUCACCCGGCUCAGGAUCCCCGCCAGCCUGUGGACACUUAGCGGGGAAUUUGGUCACUGGCUUCAGAUGGCGGAUUAGCGAGUCUCGCCUGGAGAACAUCACCGAAUGUCAUCGCUCUGCCUCGGGGUGCCUGCAUGAUGGAGAGCGGGACUCCAGGACGGAGGAAGCAUCAGCCUGCCCAGGAGGGGCAUCAAGAGAAUAUUUGUCCCCAGGCUGAUGGGGCAUGCCACGCUGGUUACGUCCCACGUCCCACGAGGCAGGGGGCCACAGCAGCGAAGAGUGUAGACCUCGGGUAUGAAUCCCAACCCUUCUCAGUUGGGUGAUCUUAGGCCAGUUGCUUACACUCUCUCUGUCUUAGUUUCCCCAUGUGUCCAGUAGACAUGAUGUUUGCAUUAGUCAGAGUCCUCCAGAGAAACAGCACCAAUAGGACGCAUAGAGAGAGACUAGUUGAAGGACUCGGCACAUGAGAUUAUGGAGUCUGGGAAGUCUGAGAUCUGCAGGGCAGGCUGGGAGGUCAGAGGACCACACCCCAACCCCUUCCCCCCGCCUGCAUCUGUCCAUCCAUCUAGUGCUUAACGUCUCUUCUCGACACGCAGGCAUCUUAGCCUGGCACAGCAGACACCGAGCCCCCAGAAUGAUCUAGAACCACCGCUCAAUUCUCCUUCACACUACGGGCUCCAUCCACUGAGCUGUGUCCAAUGGGACCUGCUCCAUCCCGACUCUCUGCCACCACAUGCCCUUCCCUCCCGCCCGCUCCCCACCGCAGGGGCGAUAAAUUCCCGCCCGUCCUCCGAGACCCAGCCUUCCUCUCGGCCACACUGAUCGGGCCUCCCCCCUCUGCUGACCACGACACCCUGUG